GCUAACAGAAACCCAGCCCUGCCCACUGGGUGAAACUGCAAGUCGAGAGCGUGGGAAACCAGCAAGUUGAGAGAGGAUCCAGAAGUAACCCCUUCUAAAAUGGGAAAGAUGCCUUCCGAAAGCACUUGGCCCUAAAGAGAAAACACUAGGAGGAUGAGAACUGGGAACAGAGAAGCCACUUGCUCUGCAGCCAUUUGGGCCAACCCUAGCAGGCAGAGACACAAGCCGCUGGAUGUCGAGAGGAACACAUUGGUAGAGGAACUCACAGGUGGCUGGAUGUCGAGAGGAACACACUGGUGGAAGAGCACACGGACAGGCACCAGCAGACAACCGCACGCCAGCAGCCCGUCAACCAGCACAACGAUGUGGAGUUUGGCCGGGUCAGUCAGAGGGGAGUCCAGCUGCUGAGCAGCCCGACUCCAGGAAGAAAACACCUUCCCACUCCAUCUCCCUUCUGGCUCUCCCAUCUUCUGAGAGCUACUUCCAUUCAAUAAAACCUUGCACUCAUUCUCCAA